rnacentral:ribozyme from 1 species
UUUUUUUCUUUUCCUUUUUUUUUUCUCUCUCUCUCUCUUUGUUGUCUCAAGUGAGAAAUACCAAUCAGAAGGAUAAAGAAG